GAACUCUUUCCCUUUAGUCAGCAUUAGGGUUUUAAAACCCUAAACUGAACUUUUUCUUUCAGUCAGCAUUAGGGUUUUAAACCCUAAACUGAACUCUUUCCCUUUAGUCAGCAUAGGGUUUUAAACCCUAAACUGAACUUUUCCUUUCAGUCAGCAUUAGGGUUUUAAACCCUAAACUGAACUCUUUCCCUUUAGUCAGCAUUAGGGUUUUAAAACCCUAAACUGAACUUUUCCUUUCAGUCAGCAUUAGGGUUUUAAACCCUAAACUGAACUCUUUCACUUUAGUCAGCAUUAGGGUUUUAAAAUCCUAAACUGAACUUUUCCUUUCAGUCAGCAUUAGGGUUUUAAACCCUAAACUGAACUCUGUCCCUUUAGUCAGCAUUAGGGUUUUAAACCCUAAACUGAACUUUUUCCUUUCAGUCAGCAUUAGGGUUUUAAACCCUAAACUGAACUUUUCCUUUCAGUCAGCAUUAGGGUUUUAAACCCUAAACUGAACUCUUUCCCUUUAGUCAGCAUUAGGGUUUUAAACCCUAAACUGAACUUUUCCUUUCAGUCAGCAUUAGGGUUUUAAACCCUAAACUGAACUCUUUUCCUUUAUUCAGCAUUAGGGUUUUAAAUCCUAAACUGAACUCUUUCCUUUAGUCAUCAUUAGGGUUUUAAACCCUAAACUGAACUCUUUUCCUUUAGUCAGCAUUAGGGUUUUAAAUCCUAAACUGAACUCUUCUCCUUUAGUCAGCAUUAGGGUUUUAAACCCUAAACUGAACUCUCUUUCCUUUAGUCAGCAUUAGGGUUUUAAACCCUAAACUGAACUCUUUCCAGCCAGUCAGCAUUAGGGCUUUAAACCCUAAACUGAACUUUUUCCAUUCAGUCAGCAUUGGGGUUUUAAACCCUAAACUGAACUCUUUCCUUCAGUCAACAUUAGGGUUUUAAACCCUAAACUGAACUCUUUCCAUUUAGUCAGCAUUAGGGUUUUAAACCCUAAACUAAACUCUUUUCCUUUAAUCAGCAUAAGGGUUUUAAACCCUAAACUGAACUCUUUCCUUCAGUCAGCAUUAGGGUUUUAAACCCUAAACUGAACUCUUUUCCUCCAGUCAGCAUUCUGAACUCUUUUCCUUUAGUCAACAUUAGGGUUUUAACCCCUAAACUGAACUCUUUUCCUUCAGUCAGCAUUAGGGUUUUAAACCCUAAACUGAACUCUUCUCCUUUAGUCAGCAUUAGGGUUUUAAACCCUAAACUGAACUCUUCUCCUUUAGUCAGCAUUAGGGUUUUAAAACCCUAAACUGAACUCUUCUCCUUCAGUCAGCAUUAGGGUUUUAAACCCUAAACUGAACUUUUUCCAGCCAGUCAGCAUUAGGGUUUUAAACCCUAAACUGAACUUUUUUCCCUUUAGUCAGCAUUAGGGUUUUAAACCCUAAGCUGAACUCUUUCCAGCCAGUCAGCAUUAGGGUUUUAAACCCUAAGCUGAACCUUUUCCCUUUAGUCAGCAUUAGGGUUUUAAACCCUAAACUGAACUUUUUCCCUCUAAUCAGCAUUAGGGUUUUAAAACCCUAAACUAAACUUCUGUCCAUUCAGUCAGCAUUAUGGCUCCAACCCUAAACUGAACUUUUCCCCAAUUGGUCAGCAUUAGAGUUUCAACUCUAAACUGAGCUUCUCCCCAGCUAGUCAGCAUUAGGGCUCUAACCCUGAACUGAACUAUUUCCAUUACGCCAGCCUUAGGGCUCCAACCCUAAACUGAGCAUUCAUACCUUUUGUCCAUAUCGUUGAUCCAAUCCCGGAGUUGGCAUUUUGGAAACUGAAAUUUUUCAAUCCUUUCACCAACUCUAUAAACUUCCUGGCAACUAACUCACGAAAUUUUUCCUAGUAGAACUGGGGUAGAAA
rnacentral:lncRNA from 1 species